rnacentral:rRNA from 1 species
AGAGGAAGUAAAAGUCGUAACAAGGUCUCCGUUGGUGAACCAGCGGAGGGAUCAUUAUAGAGUACCUUACUCACUACCCUUUGUGAACUAUUAUACCUGUUGCCUCGGCGGCGCCCCCCGUGGGCGCCCGCCGGUCUACUAGAAUCUCUGUUUUCGAACCCGACGAUACUUCUGAGUGUUCUUAGCGAACUGUCAAAACUUUUAACAACGGAUCUCUUGGCUCCAGCAUCGAUGAAGAACGCAGCGAAACGCGAUAUGUAAUGUGAAUUGCAGAAUUCAGUGAAUCAUCGAAUCUUUGAACGCACAUGGCGCCUUCCAGUAUCCUGGGAGGCAUGCCUGUCCGAGCGUCGUUUCAACCCUCGAGCCCUCGUGGCCCGGCGUUGGGGAUCUGCCACGGCAGGCCCCGAAAUACAGUGGCGGACCCGUUAGGCCCUUCCUUUGCGUAGUAGCAUUAGCCUCGCAUUGGGAGCCGGCGGGCUCUCCUGCCUCUAAACCCCCCAACAAGCCCGCUCCGGCGGCACCAAGGUUGACCUCGGAUCAGGUAGGAAUACCCGCUGAACUUAAGCAUAUCAAUA